rnacentral:rRNA from 1 species
UACAGAGGUGCCAAGCGUUAGGCGGAAUCACUGGGCUUAAAGCGUGUGUAGGCGGUUCGUUAAGUACCUUGUGAAAUCCCCCGGCUCAACCGGGGAACGGCUGGGUAUACUGGCGAUCUUGAGCCACCUAGGGGCAGUCGGAACAAGUGGUGGAGCGGUGAAAUGCGUAGAUAUCACUUGGAACGCCAAUGGUGAAAACAGACUGCUGGGGGUGUGCUGACGCUGAGACACGAAAGCCAGGGGAGCAAACGGG